UACGUAGGGGGCAAGCGUUGUCCGGAAUCAUUGGGCGUAAAGAGCGUGUAGGCGGCCCGGUAAGUCCGCUGUGAAAAGUCCAGGGCUCAACCCUGGGAUGCCGGUGGAUACUGUCGGGCUCGAGUCCGGAAGAGGAGUGUGGAAUUCCUGGUGUAGCGGUGAAAUGCGCAGAUAUCAGGAGGAACACCAAUGGCGAAGGCAGCACUCUGGGACGUGACUGA
rnacentral:rRNA from 1 species